UGAUAAGGGACGAGAAUCCUCAAAAAUGUUAGUAAAACAAAGAGACGUAUAACCUAAAGAAGAAUUGUUCUUCAAACUUUGAAAUAAGAUUUCAACGGCACUAGCAUCCCGUAUCGAUUCAGUUUGUGUGCGUGUGGAUACCAGUAGAGACACAACGUUUGGAGUGCUUUACAACCUCGGUUUAUUUUAGUUCAUCUUUCCGCUGCAAAUUAACCAGGUAUAUUCAUAAACUGAUGACAUAGAUUUGAUUCAAUAUUUAUACGAAUCCUGGCAAUUAAAUUUGUGAUUAGUUUUAUAAAUCGUUAUAAACCGGUACAAAUUACAACAGUGGUAUCAGAGCAUACGUGUAUAAUUUUGAAAUUGAAUCUAUUUUAAUGUAUAUAUGUGAUAUACAAAAUAAUUUGGUUUCGUUCAUCGAUCCUUAUUGUAAUAAUUGAUUAAUUGUUAAUCGGAAAAAGAAAUCUGUAGUAUGCAAUUUCGUUAUCAUAGUUUUGUGAUGAAUAUUAAAUUGAUCUAAGUAUAUAUAGAUAUGCUUUUGUCAUCUUGUUAAAUUAUGUUCGUAUACGUAUGUUUGACUUUGAAAUAAAUAUAUGAGAUAUAUCUAUUAACUCGAUGUACGUGUUAUUGAAUUCAUACGUGUAUUAUGUGCAUUAUGGUAAUGCUUGUUGUGUUGGAUUUUUUAAAUAAAUAUAUAUUAAAUGUCUGUUGUUAACCAGAAAGGACAACGAUAGCACUAUUUAAUUUAAUUGUUCAUCGAGUAGUGUGCUCUGUAUGUUCGGCGAACACAGAGACUUGGUGAGUUAAAUUUCCACAAACUUAAUUCGAUUAAAAUAAUCUAUUUGUGUUUAAAUCGUUUUAAUAUGAUUGAGAAUGAUUUACAAAUUGAUAGUCGUACAUAUUAGAUAUGUAUAAGUGAUUUAUUGUUUAAAUGAUAUAUAUGAGAUAUAUAAAAUAUAACAUAAAAUAUAUGAGAUAUAAAUUUUGUGUUAAUGUUGACUCGUGUUUGGGUAAUGAAAGUCAUUACGGCAAAUUCGUUAACAGGAGUCUUUGAUUCUUUUCUGAAUCUUUAGAAUUUAUAUUCUAAUAUGAUUAGAACUAUUGAAAUAUAAUUAAAAUUAAUUUUCUGAAUAAUUAAUGUUUAAUUGGAUUAAAAUUUAUUAAAUUGUUUAUAAUUCAAUUAAACAUAUAAGAUAUGAGACGGACUUAAUAGACAACAUCUAAUAGAAGUUUUCUCUCUCUUCUCUCUCCCGUAUCCUUUAGAGAGAGAAACACUUCUUGCUGUUGCCGAUCGGAUGUUUAUCCGACGUUUAGCCGUCCCAAGUGAUUUGGGCUUUUGCCCGGUAUCCUCCAGCUUCGUUAGGGGAGAUAGCCGGUUUUUGUCCGGCAAAUCCGGCUUCCAUAAGCGGUUUUGGCUGGCUUUUAUCCUUUCUCGCCGUCGAUCGGUUGUAUACCGAUUGCUUUAGGUUCCUUUUUGUUUUUUUUAUAAUAAUACUAUGGAUCUGAGUUGGUAAUUAGUCUUUAGGUGACGUUUGCUUAAGAUUAAUAUCUCCGACUUGUGUCUUUAGAAACCUUGAUUUGCAGGAAAUAGUUCAAGUGAUUAUUACAUCUUGUCCAAAGGAUUGAAGAAUAUUCCGAAGCAUAUUAUGAUACCCUUUUGUCGUCUUUUUAUAUUGAGCUCCGUUCAUAUCAAAUUCGGUGGUAAACAAGGAUUCUUCGUGCGAUGUUUCGGCGAUGCUUUCCUCACUGGAUUCGGUGCUCGUCGGCGACGGAUAUUGAUGUCGGUACCCUUCUGAUGACUCAUCAACACGUGUUGCAGUUGUAAUCUCAAGAUGACUCGUGAUUUCGAUAGAGUCCAAAAGUCUAAACUCCUUUUGCUUUCGAUGUAAUUUUGGUAGACCCUUGUUGGGCUUAACUUUUUUAAUUCUGCAGAAUCAGCGUGGGCUUUUAGGCCUUGUAACCAACCUUUGGUUUGUUCAAUAACACUCUCUUGUGACAAAAAAAAAAAAACAUAUAAGAUAUGUAUUAGUUAUAUUUUAUUUAUAUUAGAUAUAAAUUUAAAUAUAAAUUUGAGUUAUAAAAUUAAUUCCUCAAUAAAUAUCAAGUAUUUUGAUGUCUCUCCAAUUUUAUUAACUGUCAAAGGCUUGUUUCAUUGUGUGAUGGGCUUACUAAGUAGGAUGUCCACAAUUACAUGAGUAAGACAGAUGGUAAUGGUUACCAUAUGAGUAAAAGAUUGGUUUACUUGACUAAGCUAUCAAAACGGUUUUGGGCUUAGAGACAUAUGUUGGAUAAGACAUAAGAUGUUAUCUAACAACCAAGAGUUAUAUUGGAUAUAAUUAGCAAAGGUGUUGCUUACCUAAAUAACUAAACAUUCGGGCGAUGAGCCAAAGCUCACUUGAAUUUUAGUAAAAUAAGGAUCUUGGAUUACUGUGCUCAUUUUGAGGAAAAUAUUGUUUUGAGUAUAGUACGAGUUUUCUUAAUUGUUAAGAUUUCUCAAAUUUCAUGAACAUCAUAUUAACAUCUGCUAUUCUUUGAAACCAGAAAUGUCAAACCCUCACAGUUCAUUUUCACUUCGAUCCGUCCUUGAGAAGGACAAGCUGAAUGGAUCAAAUUUCCUCGAGUGGUAUCGAAAUCUGAGAAUUGUUCUCAAACAAGAGAAAAAGGAAUAUGUCCUUGAAAAGAAAUUGCCGCUUGAGAAGCCUAAGGCAAAUCUUCCACAUGCAGAGAGAAAUGCUUAUGACAAGCAUGCCAGUGAUAGGGUCGAUGUGUGUUGUCUCAUGUUGGCCACCAUGAACUCGGACUUGCAAAAGCAAUAUGAGAACGUGGAGUCACCGAUUGAGAUAAUCACUAGCCUGAAAGGAAUGUUUCAGGAGCAAGCACGAACUGAGAGAUAUAAUACCUGUUAAGGCUCUCUUUGAGUGUAAGCUACCAAAGGACAGUCCAGUUAGCCCACAUGUCAUUAAGAUGAUUGGUUAUAUUGAUAACCUGACUAAGCUGGAUGCUCCUAUCAGCCAAGAGUUGGCAAAUGAUAUCAUUUUACAGUCAUUGCCGUCAAGUUAUGAUCAGUUCAUUUUGAACUAUAAUAUGAACAACUUGACAAAGACUUUGACUGAACUACAUGGAAUGCUCAAAACUGCUGAACCAAACAUCAGAAAGGACACCUCACAUGUCUUGAUGGUGAAAGGGGGCAAAAAGUUUAAGAAACAUGGUAAGAACAAAGGAAAGGGUAAGAUACACGGGGUUGAGAAUCCUAGUAAGUCUGAUCCUUCUCCUAAGUUCAAGGCCGGUCCCUCUGGUAAUGACAAAUGCCAUUAUUGUAAUGGUGCUGGGCAUUGGAAGAGAAACUGCGCGAAAUACUUGGAAGAUCUGAAGAAGAAGAAGACUCUUAAGACUUCUUCUCCAGGUAUCUAUGUUAUAGAAGUAAAUGUUACUACUUCUAGUUCUACUUCUUGGGUAUUGGAUACCGGUUGUGGUGCUCAUAUUUGUGUUAAUAUGCAGGGCCUAAGCAACAGUAGAGCUUUGAAGAAAGGACAAGUGGACCUACGAGUGGGGAAUGGAGCAAGAGUUGCUGCAUUAGUUGUAGGAACAUUUCAUUUGUCUUUAUCUUCUGGCAUGGUUUUAGAACUUAAGAAUUGCUACUAUGUACCUGCUAUAAGCAGAAAUAUCAUUUCUAUUUCCUGUUUGGACUUGGAAGGAUUUCACUUUUCGAUUAAAAACAAGUGUUGUUCAUUUGAUCGUGGUGAUAAUUUUUAUGGUAGUGGUCUAUUAGAAAAUGGGCUUUAUGUUCUUAACCAAGAAAUGCCAGUCUAUAACAUUAGUACCAAAAGAUUUAAGUCUAAUGACUCGAAUCCUACUUUUCUUUGGCAUUGUCGUUUAGGCCAUAUAAAUGAGAAACGCAUUCAAAAGCUUCAUAGUGAUGGACUUUUGAACUCAUUUGAUUAUGAAUCUUAUGAAAAAUGUGAAUCUUGUUUAUUGGGUAAGAUGACUAAGGCCCCUUUUAAUGGACACAGUGAAAGGGCCGGUGACUUGUUAGGCCUUGUACAUACAGAUGUAUGUGGACCAAUGAGUUUAGGUGCCAGAGGAAACUUUCAGUACUUCAUUACAUUUACUGAUGAUUUCAGUAGAUAUGGUUAUGUUUAUCUAAUGAAACAUAAAUCAGAAUCUUUUGAAAAGUUCAAAGAUUUUCAGAAUGAAGUACAAAAUCAACUUGGCAAAACAAUUAAAGCCCUACGAUCAGAUCGUGGAGGAGAAUAUUUGAGCCAAGUGUUUAGUGAUCAUCUCAGAGAAUGUGGAAUUGUUUCACAGCUCACUCCUCCGGGAACACCUCAAUGGAAUGGUGUGUCUGAAAGGAGAAAUCGAACUUUAUUAGAAAUGGUUCGAUCGAUGAUGAGUCACACAGAUCUUCCAUUAUCCUUUUGGGGAUACGCCACUUCUGCGUUUACGCUAAACAGGUGUCCGUCAAAAUCAGUUGAAAAGACACCAUAUGAGAUAUGGACUGGAAAGGUUCCUAACUUGUCUUUUCUGAAAAUUUGGGGUUGUGAAGCUUAUGUCAAACGUUUGAUUACAGAUAAGCUUGGACCCAAAUCUGAUAAAUGCUACUUCGUUGGUUAUCCUAAAGAGACCAAAGGUUAUUACUUUUACAACCCUACUGAGAACAAAGUGUUUGUUGCUCGGAAUUGUGUCUUUCUAGAAAGAGAAUUUCUUUCGAAGAGAAACAGUGGGAGUAAGGUACAACUCGAAGAAGUUCGAGAAUCACAGGAGAUUGCUCCACCUAUUCAGGAAGAACAUCAACUAGAUUUACGAAGAGUCGUAGAAUCUACACCUGUAGAACCUGAAGUACGUAGGUCCGAGAGGACGCGCCACGAACCUAAUAGAUAUGGGGUUUGGGUGAUGGAUCAUCAUGAUCUAUUGAUUAUAGAUAAUGAUGAACCUACGUCUUACGGAGAAGCUAUGAUGAGCCCCGAUUCCGAUAAGUGGUUAGAGGCCGCUGAAUCCGAAAUGGACUCCAUGUCACAAAACAAAGUAUGGACUUUGGUUGAUUUACCUGAUGGUGUAAAAGCCAUUGAGUGUAAAUGGGUUUUCAAGAAGAAAAUUGACAUGGAUGGUAAUAUACAGAUAUACAAAGCGAGACUGGUUGCUAAAGGUUACAAGCAAGUUCAUGGUAUUGACUAUGAUGAAACAUUUCACCAGUAGCAAUGUUUAAGUCUAUUCGGAUUCUCCUAGCUAUUGCUGCUCAUUACGAUUAUGAGAUUUGGCAAAUGGAUGUGAAAACAGCUUUUCUUAAUGGAAAUCUGGAAGAGGAUGUGUACAUGACACAACCUGAAGGUUUCACAAGUCCUGAGAAUGCUGGGAAAGUAUGCAAACUUCAACGCUCUAUCUAUGGGUUGAAGCAAGCAUCUCAGAGUUGGAAUCUUCGUUUUGAUGAGGCGAUCAAAGAGUUUGAUUUCAUUAGAAACGAAGAAGAACCUUGCGUUUACAAGAAGACUAGUGGGAGUGCAGUUGUAUUUCUUGUAUUGUAUGUAGAUGACAUACUACUCAUUGGAAAUGACAUUCCUUUGCUUCAGUCUGUUAAGACUUGGCUAGGGAAAUGUUUUUCAAUGAAAGACAUGGGAGAAGCUGCAUAUAUUCUUGGAAUUCGGAUCUAUAGAGAUAGACCGAACAGAAUAAUUGGACUCAGUCAAGAUACUUAUAUAGAUAAGAUCUUGCACAGGUUCAGUAUGCAUGAUUCUAAGAAAGGCUUUUUACCAAUGUCUCAUGGCAUAACUCUUAGCAAGACUCAGUGUCCUUCAAAACAUGAUGAGCGAGAGCGGAUGAGUAGAAUCCCAUAUGCUUCUGCUAUAGGUUCUAUCAUGUAUGCCAUGCUCUGUACUCGUCCAGAUGUGGCAUGUGCUUUAAGCAUGACGAGUAGAUACCAAUCUGAUCCAGGUGAAAGUCACUAGACAGCAGUCAAGAAUAUUCUUAAGUAUUUGAGAAAAACUAAGGAUAAGUUUUUGGUCUAUGGAGGAAGUGAUGAGCUUGUUGUGAGUGGUUACACUGAUGCCCGCUUUCAAACAGACAAAGAUGAUUUCCGAUCUCAAUCUGGAUUUAUCUUUUGUCUUAAUGGAGGAGCGGUGAGUUGGAAAAGCUCUAAGCAAAGCACCGUGGCAGACUCAACAACCGAAGCUGAAUAUAUUGCUGCUUCUGAAGCAGCGAAAGAAGCGGUUUGGAUUAGGAAGUUCAUUGUUGAACUUGGUGUGGUUCCUAGCAUUUCUGGUCCGGUGGAUCUUUAUUGUGACAACAAUAGAGCCAUCGCUCAGGCGAAGGAACCCAUAUCACACCAGAAAUCCAAACACAUUCUAAGACGAUAUCACCUCAUUCGUGAUAUUGUGGAUAGAGGAGAUGUGAAGAUUAGCAGAGUUUCAACGGAUGCAAAUGUUGCUGAUCCUUUAACCAAGCCUCUUCCACGGCCUAAGCAUGAGAGUCAUACUUCUAUUGUAGGCAUUAGAUAUCUUAAGAUGUGAUCUUGAUUCUAGUGGGAGAUUUGUCUUUUAUGAUGUGAUGUUCAUGUAUACAUUUGAUUUUAUUUUCAAAUUAAUGAAAUUUGUUUCAAUAUUAUUUGGUUAUUUGAUAAUUAAAUAAUUGUCACAAAAUAAUUUAUAUCAUUCUUAUAGGUCAUCAAGUACGUGACUUGAUCAUGAAACCCUAUGAGUGGGAGAUGAAAUAAAUUAUUGAUGUCCCUAGUCAAUGUUAUUAAAAUGGGACGUUAAUAACUAUAAAUGACUAGUAUGUGAGGUGACUGAUGACCAAGUUUCGUGGAGUCAUUAAUAUGCAGUAUUAAAGUUAAUCACAUAAAUAUGUGUUAGAGAACACAGUAUUUGACUGACCCGCUAUGAGAACUCUACAGGAAUGUUAUAUGAGUGUCAUAUGAGUUUCUCAUCACAACUAUAGAGUAUAGUCCUUUGACCUGAGUUUGUCAUGUUUUCAUGUACAUGGAUUGGUCCGCUUUGACUCUGUCAAACGUCAGCCGUAACAGAUGAUUAUAAAGACAGUGAUUGGGCGUAUUAUGAAUUGUGUAAGGAACAUGGAUGGAACAAGAUGGGAUUUGUCCCUCCUAUAUAACAGGAGAUAAAUAUCUCUGGGCCUAUCGAAGAUUUGAUACUGAGAAAUGCAUGGCCAUGCUCAAACGAGGUGAAAUGUCAAUCGUUUGUUUUAUCAGUAUAAAUUAGAGUUCGAUAAAUAUGAUCUAGCUUAAUAAGGAUGACACUGUUUCUUGCCUUAUGCUAAGAUCGAGAUAUAGAGACGAAAGGAUUGUGGGAAUAAAUGAUUCCAGUACAAGUGGGAGAUUGUUGGGAAUGUCCUGAAAUCAUUUGUACUUACUCUUGUUAGAGUCAUAACGUUGAGGUUUUGACAAUCAUAUAAUAUUAGGUGGUUAUAAUGUUUUGCUAAAAACCGCUUAUGAUCUAUGGAUUGAGAAUCUAUUGCUAAUAUUAUAUGAUCCUACAGGGUCACACACCUAAGCAAACUGAAUCAAUAAUACAUUAGGUUUCAUACUUAAUAUUAUAUAUGAUAGAAUAUGUGUAUAUAUAUAUGCACGCGUGAGAAGAAUUAUAACUUACUUUAGAUUAAUAAUGAAUGUCAUUAUUAUUAAAAGGACUUACCUAAUUAUGUUAGGUAUGUGUCUUUCGUAAGUCCAUAAUCCAACUUAGGUAAUGUGUAUAAUAAUGAAUGUCAUUAUUAUUAAAGCUAACCUAAUUAAGUUAGGUCACGUGUAUUCAUAUAUAUAUACCUAUAGUAGCUUAUGAUAAGGGACGAGAAUCCUCAAAAAUGUUAGUAAAACAAAGAGACGUAUAAUAUUAAGUAUGAAACCUAAUAACAGUGAAUUUGAUAUGGUUUUUCUAAAUCUUUCAUUGAAUAACAUAGGAUUUGGAAAGAGAUUUUAAAAUCACAAUUUGAAUAACAGGUGAUUUUAAGAAAAUCCCAAAAAUUUCUAAGAAAAAUACUACUCCCUCUGUUUCAAGAUAAUUGAUUUUUUAGAGUUUUUACACAUAUUAAAACUUGAUUAGAAAUGUAUCAUUUUUUGUGAUUUACAAUUUUCUAUAAUUCUAAACCAAUGAUAUUCAAUUAUUUUUUCUUGAAGUUUACAAUUCAUCAAUAAUAACUAAUGAAUAUUGCAUAGAAAACCUAAAAGGCUAAAACAAUAUCUUUUGAAACAAUUUUUUUUCUAGAAAAUCUAUUAUUUAGAAUUAGAGGGAGUAUAUAAUAAUCUAAUUUUUUUGAUUUUUCGUUUUUUUUUAGUAUUUUGGAUGGUUUUUGUCUCUUUUUUUUUGUUUUGCUCACAAACUGGUUUUGUCUAUAAAAUUCUUUUUAUUAAUUUUCUAUAUAAUUUUAGUUUCAAAAUAUUUUCUUCUAUAACAAAAAUUUGAAAAUGUGUGAAUUAUAUUUUGUAAAAAGGAUUCAAUUGUGAAAUAGAGUAAUAAAGUUUAUAGUGUUGAAAACAAUGCAAAUAUAAGUGCCGAAAGCUUAAAAUUAAUUUUGGAGUCUGAUGCAUUAAUGGUUUGACACUACAAGAAUAUUGAGCUUUAAUAGCAUUACAAGAUAGCGUUUAUGUGUGUUUUGCUAUUGUUGACUUAUUCCUAAUUUUUUUAUAGCGUUUCUAAAUAGACAAACGCUAUGAUAUAUUGGGUUCGUGAAAAUAUUGUACUUCCGCUUAUAUUUUUAAUUCUUUAGGUUUUUAACAUUGUCUGUAAUAGCAUAUACAAUUUUUAAAACGUUAUCAUAGAGUUAACCCUAAAUAUUAUUUAGUGCCUGCCUCUAUUUUUCAUGGCAGCCAACUUUUUGGUGUAAAAUUUUUUGACUUAUUUUUAUCUGUGAACUAAAAGAAUUUUGGUGGCUGCUCCUUAACUAGGUGAAAAGGAGAGAAUCAAAAGAGAGAGUAUGAAAAAUCGAUUAUCUUCUACUUGCCGAAAAUCAAUUGAGUGAAUCAAUUUCUCCUUUGCACUUCCACAUCAUUUAGCUAUCGCCAGUUCCUCUUCCACUUCAUCUACCACUUCCCCAUCUUUUGAAAUAUAAAAAAGGUAUGAAUUAAAAAUAUUAAAUGUUUUACUUUGGUUUUAUGUUCAUAGGUAUCGUUUUAUCCCGUAUUCCGAAAGUUGCUCAAAAAAAAAAGGUAUCGUUUUAUCCCGUCAUUGAUUAGAGCCUUCUUCUAUGUCGAAAUUAUCACAUCUCCUACUAUCUUUUGACUCAUUACACACAAACGGUAUACAUAAUGAAACAUUUAUGCAAUCACAUAGUUAACAAGUUAAGAUCUCACCCUCUAACAAUCACAAUAGUAAAACAAAACUGAAAAUUUUAAAAAUCUAUCGAGAAGCUAUAUUAUAUCUUAUAUGCAAAAUAAACUCUAGUUUAUAAGAGAAGGGUAUAAGAUUUUCCUAUAAAUAAUUACAUUUUUUCGACAACAUUAGAAAGUGGGUGUUGGUUAAGCAGAGCUUGGCAUGCUCAUUCACCGCAAGAUGAACGGAUCUCUCAAGGAUCCCCUUUUUGACUCAACGUUUCCUCUGCCUAAUGCAGAGGUAAUUGCUUUGAAGACUGUUCUCAGCCACAAUUUUGGGCGUGUAUCACGGCUGGCAUGUGUAUCAUGGACAUGUUUGGGACAUUAGUUCCAUUUUGCAUCGCUUUAUUUCAGUUUCCAACCAUCAUGUAUCGCGUGUUGCCAAUAUUUUAACGGAUUCCUUGGUGGAUUCUGUUCUUUUAAUUUAUUUUGUAAUGCUUGCUCAUUCAAUGGAGUUUGAGGCGCUUUGACCAAUAAAAAAGACCAAACCCUCAAAAUUUUGUGAAAAAAUUAGGUUAUCGUAAGAAUUUAACACUUAUCGUAUUAAGGUAUGAUAUAUUUUUAUAUUUUAAAAGGGUACAUAUUAUCUACAAACCCCACAAACAACGUCCGUUAAAGCAAAAAUAUAUCUUCAUCCGAUAUAAUUAGUUAAUUUAACACUCAUAUUCAUACAGUUGCAUUUAUAUAAGAUAUAAUCAUAAAUUUGAUCAUGAAACCAUAUAGUAAGUCGGAUUAUUAUGAGUAACUCACACUCUUUGUUUCUUUUAAAAUCU
rnacentral:lncRNA from 1 species